rnacentral:misc_RNA from 1 species
GAUGAAGAACGUAGCGAAAUGCGAUAAGUAGUGUGAAUUGCAGAAUUCAGUGAAUCAUCGAAUCUUUGAACGCACAUUGCGCCCUUUGGUAUUCCUUAGGGCAUGCCUGUUCGAGCGUCAUUUAAACCUUCAAGCUCAGCUUGGUGUUGGGUGACUGUCCGCCGCCUCCGGGCGCGUGGACUCGCCUCAAAAUUAUUGGCGGCCGGUACAUUGGCUUCGAGCGCAGCAGAAACGCGAACUCGGACCCGUCGUAUUGGCUCCCAGAAGCUAUCUUCACAAUUUUGACCUCGGAUCAGGUAGGGAUACCCGCUGAACUUAAGCAUAUCAAUAAGCGGAGGA